UACGGAGGAUGCGAGCGUUAUCCGGAUUUACUGGGUGUAAAGGGAGCGCAGGCGGCGCGGCAAGUCCGAUGUGAAAACCCCCGGCUCAACUGGGGGACUGCAUUGGAAACUACCGGGCUGGAGUGCCGGAGAGGUAGGCGGAAUUCCUGGUGUAGCGGUGAAAUGCGUAGAUAUCAGGAGGAACACCAGUGGCGAAGGCGGCCUACUGGACGGUGACUGACGCUGAGGCUCGAAAGCGUGGGGAGCAAACAGG
rnacentral:rRNA from 1 species